CGAAGAAGAGGAAGAAUCCCCAGUCGUCUCCGCUGCUGUCAGCACCACACCAAUGGCUGCGAUCUUAGCUCGAAAGUCUCUCUCUGCGCUUCGCGCUCGUCAGCUUGCUGUAUCUGGACAAACAUUGCAGGGCUCACACCAGUAUGCGCUACGAUCUGGUGCACACUUAUAUUCCACCAAGAAAGAUGAUGAAGAAAGAGAGCAGCUUGCAAAGGAGAUUUCCAAGGAUUG
rnacentral:misc_RNA from 1 species